CUGUGGAUUGUCCUUUGGACAAUGGUAGGAGAGCGUUCUAAGGGCGUUGAAGCAUGAUCGUAAGGACAUGUGGAGCGCUUAGAAGUGAGAAUGCCGGUGUGAGUAGCGAAAGACGGGUGAGAAUCCCGUCCACCGAUUGACUAAGGUUUCCAGAGGAAGGCUCGUCCGCUCUGGGUUAGUCGGGUCCUAAGCUGAGGCCGACAGGCGUAGGCGAUGGAUAACAGGUUGAUAUUCCUGUACCACCUAUAAUCGUUUUAAUCGAUGGGGGGACGCAGUAGGAUAGGCGAAGCGUGCGAUUGGAUUGCACGUCUAAGCAGUAAGGCUGAGUAUUAGGCAAAUCCGGUACUCGUUAAGGCUGAGCUGUGAUGGGGAGAAGACAUUGUGUCUUCGAGUCGUUGAUUUCACACUGCCGAGAAAAGCCUCUAGAUAGAAAAUAGGUGCCCGUACCGCAAACCGACACAGGUAGUCAAGAUGAGAAUUCUAAGGUGAGCGAGCGAACUCUCGUUAAGGAACUCGGCAAAAUGACCCCGUAACUUCGGGAGAAGGGGUGCUCUUUAGGGUUAACGCCCAGAAGAGCCGCAGUGAAUAGGCCCAAGCGACUGUUUAUCAAAAACACAGGUCUCUGCUAAACCGUAAGGUGAUGUAUAGGGGCUGACGCCUGCCCGGUGCUGGAAGGUUAAGAGGAGUGGUUAGCUUCUGCGAAGCUACGAAUCGAAGCCCCAGUAAACGGCGGCCGUAACUAUAACGGUCCUAAGGUAGCGAAAUUCCUUGUCGGGUAAGUUCCGACCCGCACGAAAGGCGUAACGAUUUGGGCACUGUCUCAACGAGAGACUCGGUGAAAUCAUAGUACCUGUGAAGAUGCAGGUUACCCGCGACAGGACGGAAAG
rnacentral:rRNA from 1 species